GGGCCUGUAGUUCAGAACGGAUAGAACGGGGGAGACUGAGCAACUCCCUGGGUGUGGGUUCGAGUCCCACCAGGCCCA
rnacentral:tRNA from 1 species